UACGUAGGGGGCGAGCGUUGUCCGGAUUCAUUGGGCGUAAAGAGCUCGUAGGCGGUUCGAUAAGUCAGGUGUGAAAACUCCAGGCUCAACUUGGAGACGCCACCUGAUACUGUCGUGACUAGAGUCCGGUAGGGGAGCAUGGAAUUCCUGGUGUAGCGGUGAAAUGCGCAGAUAUCAGGAGGAACACCAGCGGCGAAGGCGGUGCUCUGGGCCGGAACUGACGCUGAGGAGCGAAAGCGUGGGGAGCGAACAGG
rnacentral:rRNA from 1 species